rnacentral:rRNA from 1 species
GACGAACGCUGGCGGCGUGCUUAACACAUGCAAGUCGAACGGAAAGGCCCUGCUUUUGUGGGGUGCUCGAGUGGCGAACGGGGGAGUAACACGUGAGUAACCUGCCCUUGACUUUGGGAUAACUUCAGGAAACUGGGGCUAAUACCGGAUAGGAGCUCCUGCUGCAUGGUGGGGGUUGGAAAGUUUCGGCGGUUGGGGAUGGACUCGCGGCUUAUCAGCUUGUUGGUGGGGUAGUGGCUUACCAAGGCUUUGACGGGUAGCCGGCCUGAGAGGGUGACCGGCCACAUUGGGACUGAGAUACGGCCCAGACUCCAACGGGAGGCAGCAGUGGGGAAUAUUACACAAUGGGCGGAAGCCUGAUGCAGCAACGCCGCGUGCGGGAUGACGGCCUUCGGGUUGUAAACCGCUUUCGCCUGUGACGAAGCGUGAGUGACGGUAAUGGGUAAAGAAGCACCGGCUAACUACGUG